GCAACAGGCGUUGGGGUUCGAUCCGCACCUUGGCCGCCUUCAGAGGUGCCACCCCACGAGUCGCCCGCCUUCCCUUGAGGCCCGCUGUGGACCCCAAGCCCGGCUUAUCCAACUUGUUCUCGCUCGCGAGUCCUGGAGGAUGGAGCUGCUUUCCAGCCAGGCCUCGGUGGUACUUUUGAUUCAGUAGUCUGCACAUUUGCAAUGAAAUUGCCCAAGAGAGUCCCCUCUGGGUUGGGCACGGUGCUAAGCAUGGACCUCACAAAGCUGAGCCAGAUGUUCCCAAAGAGCAAAGAGGCUCAAGGAUAGAAGAAUUUAUGGAGGUGGUUACAGAGGAAGAGAGAAGGUUUCUCUUCUCUAUAAGGCAUGGUCAUCCACUGAGUGAGAGAAUAGCGUGAACCAAAAGAGAACGAUGAAGUGAGAGAAGAGUUACUAAGCAACCAUAGACAAAUCGUGUCUAAAGACUGCCCAGCUGAGAACCUGCCCAUUCACACCCCUGAAGAACAAACCGGCCUACCUGUUCCAACAUCACUAUGGAAUCUUGGAGUACUCCUUUUAGGCGGUGGGCCUGAUCUUUGUUCUUUUGAAUAUUUUCUGUUCUUGAGAACCUGUCAGAGACUAAACUAGAAGACAAAAAAAAAUUUUUAAUCAUGAAAGCAGCUGCUUAUCUUUUAUUUACAGAAAUUAUUGUGCCCCAUGAAUUGCAAAUAAAACACAAAAUCAAACCCA